UACGGGGGGAGCAAGCGUUGUUCGGAUUUACUGGGCAUAAAGGGCGCGUAGGCGGCGCAACAAGUCACUUGUGAAAUCUCCGGGCUUAACCCGGAGCGGCCAAGUGAUACUGUCGUGCUAGAGUGCGGAAGGGGCUACUGGAAUUCUCGGUGUAGCGGUGAAAUGCGUAGAUAUCGAGAGGAACACCUGCGGCGAAGGCGGGUAGCUGGGCCGACACUGACGCUGAUGCGCGAAAGCCAGGGGAGCGAACGGG
rnacentral:rRNA from 1 species